GCUGGCAGCUUGCUCUCCGCAGCUCUCACAUGGUCGCCCACUGAAGCUAAGCAGGGCUGCGCCUGGUCAGUACCUAGAUGGGAGGACACAUGGGAAAACUAGGUUGCUGUUGGAA
rnacentral:rRNA from 1 species